GGGGGGGGGGUGGCGCUAUCGCGGUUGAGUUGGCAGGGGUGGCGCCCCCACACCCUCCGGCCUAAGGAUGAUCAAUCUUGAUUCCUUUUUAUAAAUGGCAUGCAUUAGACCUGUGUAGCUAGUCACGUGGUAAUGUAAAAAGCAGACCUGUGUAGCUACUUCAACCUGUGAAGCUGAGUACAUUGCUGCCUCAAGGUGUUGCUCCCAAGUUCUGUGGAUUCAACAGCAAAUGCGCGACUACGGUUUUGAAUUCCUAACUACUCCUAUUUAUGUU
rnacentral:lncRNA from 1 species